rnacentral:tRNA from 1 species
CAGAGAAUAGUUUAUAAAAAAUAUUAGUUUUGGGGAUUAAUGAUAGGGGGUAGCCUCUUUCUCUGA